UGGAAAGGCGCGCGAUACAGGGUGACAGCCCCGUACACAAAAAUGCACAUGCUGUGAGCUCGAUGAGUAGGGCGGGACACGUGGUAUCCUGUCUGAAUAUGGGGGGACCAUCCUCCAAGGCUAAAUACUCCUGACUGACCGAUAGUGAACCAGUACCGUGAGGGAAAGGCGAAAAGAACCCCGGCGAGGGGAGUGAAAAAGAACCUGAAACCGUGUACGUACAAGCAGUGGGAGCACGCUUAGGCGUGUGACUGCGUACCUUUUGUAUAAUGGGUCAGCGACUUAUAUUCUGUAGCAAGGUUAACCGAAUAGGGGAGCCGAAGGGAAACCGAGUCUUAACUGGGCGUUAAGUUGCAGGGUAUAGACCCGAAACCCGGUGAUCUAGCCAUGGGCAGGUUGAAGGUUGGGUAACACUAACUGGAGGACCGAACCGACUAAUGUUGAAAAAUUAGCGGAUGACUUGUGGCUGGGGGUGAAAGGCCAAUCAAACCGGGAGAUAGCUGGUUCUCCCCGAAAGCUAUUUAGGUAGCGCCUCGUGAAUUCAUCUCCGGGGGUAGAGCACUGUUUCGGCAAGGGGGUCAUCCCGACUUACCAACCCGAUGCAAACUGCGAAUACCGGAGAAUGUUAUCACGGGAGACACACGGCGGGUGCUAACGUCCGUCGUGAAGAGGGAAACAACCCAGACCGCCAGCUAAGGUCCCAAAGUCAUGGUUAAGUGGGAAACGAUGUGGGAAGGCCCAGACAGCCAGGAUGUUGGCUUAGAAGCAGCCAUCAUUUAAAGAAAGCGUAAUAGCUCACUGGUCGAGUCGGCCUGCGCGGAAGAUGUAACGGGGCUAAACCAUGCACCGAAGCUGCGGCAGCGACACUAUGUGUUGUUGGGUAGGGGAGCGUUCUGUAAGCCUGUGAAGGUGUGCUGUGAGGCAUGCUGGAGGUAUCAGAAGUGCGAAUGCUGACAUAAGUAACGAUAAAGCGGGUGAAAAGCCCGCUCGCCGGAAGACCAAGGGUUCCUGUCCAACGUUAAUCGGGGCAGGGUGAGUCGACCCCUAAGGCGAGGCCGAAAGGCGUAGUCGAUGGGAAACAGGUUAAUAUUCCUGUACUUGGUGUUACUGCGAAGGGGGGACGGAGAAGGCUAUGUUGGCCGGGCGACGGUUGUCCCGGUUUAAGCGUGUAGGCUGGUUUUCCAGGCAAAUCCGGAAAAUCAAGGCUGAGGCGUGAUGACGAGGCACUACGGUGCUGAAGCAACAAAUGCCCUGCU
rnacentral:rRNA from 1 species